CUACGGGAGGCAGCAGUGGGGAAUAUUGCGCUAAUGCGCGAAAGCGUGACGCAGCGACGCCGCGUGGGGGAUGAAGGCCCUCGGGUCGUAAACCCCUUUCGGCAGGGACGAAGCGAGAGUGACGGUACCUGCAGAAGAAGCACCGGCUAACUCCGUGCCAGCAGCCGCGGUAAUACGGAGGGUGCAAGCGUUGUUCGGAAUUACUGGGCGUAAAGCGCGUGUAGGCGGCCUUGCAAGCCAGACGUGAAAGCCCUCGGCUUAACCGGGGAAGUGCGUCUGGAACUGCUUGGCUUGAGUACGGGAGAGGGAGGCGGAAUUCCCAGUGUAGAGGUGAAAUUCGUAGAUAUUGGGAGGAACACCGGUGGCGAAAGCGGCCUCCUGGACCGAUACUGACGCUGAGACGCGAAAGCGUGGGGAGCAAACAGGAUUAGAUACCCUGGUAGUCCACGCGGUAAACGAUGGGCACUAGGUGUGGGGGGUAUCCACUCCUCCCGUGCCGAAGCUAACGCAUUAAGUGCCCCGCCUGGGGAGUACGGCCGCAAGGUUAAAACUCAAAGGAAUUGACGG
rnacentral:rRNA from 1 species